rnacentral:misc_RNA from 1 species
GAUGAAGAACGCAGCGAAAUGCGAUAAGUAAUGUGAAUUGCAGAAUUCAGUGAAUCAUCGAGUCUUUGAACGCACAUUGCGCCCGCUGGUAUUCCGGCGGGCAUGCCUGUUCGAGCGUCAUUUCAACCCUCAAGCCCCCGGGUUUGGUGUUGGGGAUCGGCUCUGCCCUUCUGGGCGGUGCCGCCCCCGAAAUACAUUGGCGGUCUCGCUGCAGCCUCCAUUGCGUAGUAGCUAACACCUCGCAACUGGAACGCGGCGCGGCCAUGCCGUAAAACCCCAACUUCUGAAUGUUGACCUCGGAUCAGGUAGGAAUACCCGCUGAACUUAAGCGUAUCAAUAAGCGGAGGA